GAGCUUAGCUUCCUCUCAUUGGUCCACUCUCCUCCUCUCCCUACAUACCUGGUUGUUCUAAUUUUUCUCCGCUGGUUCCUCAUUUCAUGCUUGUCAUGUUGUCACGUCUGUCCUUUGUUUAUGCUGCUUGAGAUACCCUGCCUGUGCAUCUCCUACGACUUUCAGUGCUUCAGCCUGCAGAGCGGCUUCAAUGAAGAGGAGGAGGAGGAGGAAGGAGGCAGGAAACGCAGCGGUGAAGUGACAGAAAAACACAUCCGGACCCAGAGAGCAGAGAGGACAGGUCAGUGAAUGCAGCGCUGAAGCAGAAAAUAAGCUCUUGCUUCACUCUGAAAUCCAGAAACUGAUGUAGAACCUCUGCUCGGGUAGUUCAGGCUUUCUGACCCAGGUGCAGCGUGUCUGCAGGCCAGAUCUCCUGGCUGCUGUUCAAUGCCAGCUAAAAUAUGUUUCUCAAAUCCAACCCAGAUCUUUGAUUUUCCACAUCGGUUCAAGAGGUUCAGCUGCUGAUGUGAAGCUCAGGUAAAUCCUUCCCUGUCUCAUUCCUGCCCCUGGAAUCUGAGCGGACCGACAAAAACUCAACAAGAUGGUCAUAAACAUCCAGCCAAAGGAUCUUCAUGAGGGUAAAACCGCAGGAACAGUGUUUACCUGGACUCAGAAUGAGUCAGUGAAAGCUUCAGUUGUCUUGCCUUGGAUAUAAUGGGUUUUAAAAGCAAAUGAAAGAGAACUUUUCUAUUAAUCAUUGUUGGAGUUUCUGUCUUCUGAGCAGCUCCUCUUUAUUCACCAGCUGCCCUCUGAUUGGAUCUGUGCUCUAUUUAAAUAUGAGCUGCUCAUAUGAAAAGCUUAUCUGCAGCAUUUAGAAUGUGCUGCUGCAGAUAAGCUGUCCGUGUGUCUUCUGCAUUCUUCUAAAGUUUGAUCUUUGUAAACUUUGCAAAGUGAACAAUUAAGAAAGUUAUUCCCAUGUAAUAUGUCAACCUGUUUCAGCCUCAUUUAACUGUUCAAAAAAACUCCUUCAGGUUGCAAAUGUUCAUCAAUCAGGUCCUAUAUCAACCGUUUCCAGGGUUUGUGGAUUUGCAUCUAUCAAGAUCUAUCAGAAAAUAUGUAAUUGUCCAUAUUUUACUUAAUAAACACAACUGAGCGGACAUAGCCAAUAGAAGACUUACUAAAAAUAACACACAAGCACAGAUUUAUGGAUGCAGACAACCUUUAAGUGAUUAGAACUAUAAAGGACCAAAAACACAGCCCUGGGGGACUCCACAAGUAAUGAUGUAGCUAGGGAUGGGUACCGAAUUCAGUACUUUUAUAGGUACCGACCAAAUUCCGUCGGUACUAUUGAGUACCGAUUCACGUAAAAUCAGAUGGUACCAUGUUUCGGUACCUAAACGCAUCAUUGUGACACUGAGGGAGUGGAAGAGUGGGUGAUUUUCCAUGUCGGACAUGAACACAGCAUGACACUCACAAGGCCGUAAUGACGUCAGUAGUCACUGGUACCUUAAACAAAUCAUGGCUGAUAGAAAGCGCUCGAAAUUAUGGCUCCACUUUUCAAAAUGUGAUGCAGCAAUAUUUGUGAUGCAAUGUGCAAGACCGGCUGCGGGAAUACUUCUAAUCUGAGGAAGCACCUGCAGCGGUUCCCCUACCAUUAUCCAAGGGGGGCGCCCCGCCCCGCCCCGCCAACCAGACCGCCAGCCCCCCCAAGAGGAUCACAGCAUGUAGUAAUAGCAUUUAUAUAUUCUUCUGAGUGUGUGUGUAUAUACACUGACCCGGUUAAGCACAAGAUUUUUGUCAAGGCUGAAGAGACAGUUUUCAUCAGCCUCAGAUCUACGGCUAGAACUCCUGCAUUCAGCACCGUUAGCACGCCUGCAUCCGUUAGC